AACGGAGUCUUCAAGGGCCUACAACAUUCCCCACGUAUGUAGAAUUGGAAGGAAGUAGACAGAGGCCAACCCAGAGUAAUUCCAUAAUUUGUCUUGGUACACAUAACCCAACCUCCAGCGGUAUCAUCCACAACUCUUCACCUAAAGACUUUCUCUGGCCACCAGAGCCUGCUCUGCCCCUGGCCAUGUCAGAGUGAAAGUGAUGGAGAAUGUCUGCUUCCAGGGAACAGCCCUCAGCGAUGGAUGGGAAUUGGUGUACAGCUGCCCCAGCCCUAUCACUUCUCAGUUGGGGUAUGUCUGAGGUAGCAGAAUAUUGGCGUGUAGCGCUACUCAAAACAUAGAAAGCAGAAAUAAAUCAAUUCUGCCUGGAGGACCUCCUCCAUCUCAACACCCAGUGGUUUUGACAGAAUUGAUAUAGAAAUAGAAACUUCAAGAUGUUCACAGUGAAGCUGCUACGGGGAUAAUGAAUUGCAGAGGGGCAAGAGUGGAAUAAGGGAUGUAGCUUUACAUGUUGGAAAGAGCCCACGAUAGAAUAAACAGGGAAGAUAAGUGAGAAUAAACCUUGAAAGCCAAGCACAAUAUAAAUUAUCAAAAAGAAGGAAGCCUCCCCUUCAGGUGGCAUAUAUACCUUAAUCAAAUACCCUCAAAGUAGAUAUUAAAAAUCAUCAGAGCAAAUUUGCAGAAGCAGCCUACUUUGUCAAAAUGAGCAUUGGCUUUAGAGUGCAACAUGCUCACGUUUGAAUCCUGGUCUUGCUAUUUACUAGUUAGUUUCCUGAUUUGUAAAGCGAAGACCUUGACCUUUAGCCCUUGGAGUUUUGAUGAGAAGUUGCAUAAUCCACAUAAAGCAUUAUAUUGCAAUACCCAAGUUGCAGUAAGCUCAACACGUAAGGUUUCAUUAAGAUAUACAAGAGAGAAUUUACAAGCAGAAAGCAUACACCAUUUAUGUGUCAUUUAACCGAAAUGACCACAGCUAACUGAUUCUCUUUUCGGAGAUUUCCAAAACCCAUACGGUCCCUGUAAAGAAAGUUGGCCUCACUUGGAAAACGCGGGCCAGCAUCACUCAAGCUCCUGGGAAAACUGCUCCAAGCCAAAGCCAAAAAUAAUCCCAUUAGUCACAUUCGAAGUGCUAAGCAGAAACAAAAAGAAAUCAAAAUUAAUUUCAAUACUUACAGUGACAGCAGCAAUUAAGGUGACAAGAUUAUGGAAAUCAUCACCAUCACCGGAGAUCUUUGCCUAAGGGAGAAAAAUAACCAGUAAUAUAAAGGACUAAGAAACAGAGGAGUUCUGUUCACAACAAAUGAACCACCAGCCCUCAGAGGAUUUCAAUUGGGCAUUGCUCCAUGCAAUAAUAAUGUAUUCUGUACUCAUUAUGUAUCAACAUCUUUAAGCAAUUACCUCUAGUACUCACAUCAUCUCUAUAAGAAAUAUUAUUGUUCUCGUCUGUGAUUCAAGAAACUGAGUCACAGAAAGGUUAAACGAAUUACUCAAGUUCACGUUGAUGAAAAGUAUCAGAACCUUGAUCUAAGGUCUUCCUCAGUUGGGACCCCACUUCCAUCCCACUGCCCUAUCUUUGUAGAUAACAGCCUCGGGCUCCAAAGGAGAUGUGAUUCUUUCAGCUCCCUCUUAUCUGUGACUACGUGCCAGGAAUUGGAGAAAGGCUGCUCGGUGUGGUUUGAAUACUCCAUGGGUCAUCCAUUUUUUCCUCUUUCUGCUUUCCAGUUCGUCUCACUGCAAGUGAUUGCUAAAGAAUUCCAGUGUGGUUAUCUGAAAAAGACCCAAGCAUGAGAGGGGAGCACCCUGUUCUGAAAUAUCAGAAAAGAUAGAUUGCACCUUGCUGUGCAGAAUGACAAAAACAAUCAUUAAAGUCAAGUGGGUCUGGCAUAAAGAAGUCCAAGCAGUGCAAAGAAACUUUUUGUGACUCUGCCCUCUGGUCCUGUCUCCUGGGAAUGGUGCCCUUCUGGGGGCUUCGUAUAUUCUUAUUGAUCACCUCCACGGAGACCUGGGGUAAUGGAGAAAGAAAGCUGGUCUUUUAUCUGGAUUAACAAGUGGCUGAUGUGGGCUAAUCAUAUCAUUCAGUCCAAUUUGGAGCAAAUUGGAAGGUCUUCGGAGCAAAGAAGUAGCAACAGUUACUGAGAUCUUCAAGUGUAUUGGUGAGGACAAAUAAUAGCAAUAGCAGUCAUUAAAAUGCCAACAACACCCACUGCUGAGAUGUGGAGUGUUUCACAGUCUACAAUACUUCCCCUUUAUUCACAUUUUUAUUUCUAAGUCAGUAGUUCUGUUUUCUGAGAGUCCUUCAGGGGGACCUGGAAAGGGCAGAGAGUCAGAAAUGGUUUUACUUACUUGGGAAAUUUUAUUAACCUCAUGAGGUCAAGAGGCUUCUUGGGUGAGACGACUGUGAUUGUUAAAGCUUGUCUUAACAGAACAAAUCAUGGCCUCCUGGGUCUGGGUAGGUUGCAGAACGCUUUCUCCCCCCAUGUCUUUGGGAAGGGAGGUGUUGACCCAUCUUUUUCUGAGCCAUUUGAUUGUUGUUGUUUUUCAUAAACAAUAUUCGUGGCAAAAUCGUUGCCCAUUGGCCCGCCGUUGAACAGUCAUCUGUACCUAUGUCUGUACCUAUCUCUGUCAUCUGUACCUAUAUCUAGGUCCCUCUCAGAGAUGCAAAGCCUUUUUUGACAAGAAGAAUAGGGGAGAUUAAUAGGGAUUUCUGAGGAAUUAGCCCAACCCCAGAUAAAACAAGAGGCAAAUAAGUAAAUCCCUGAACAUUCAAGUCAUUCUGCCUUAAGUAACUAUCAACUUCCCUGGUAAAUGAGGGAGUGGAGGAGAUUUUUCAAGUUCUUUUUUCAUUCCUUCACCUGGGCAUUUAUUUGACAACUAUAUCCUGAGUAUGUGCCACAUGCCAGGCACAGUUCAAGGGGCCUGGGGACAUCAGAGAACAACAACAAAAAGACAACAACUCCUAGAUUUGUGUGGUUUCCAUCCCAACAGAGAUGUGUGGGAUGUGGGGACAGCAACAAUAAGGAUGAUACAGAGGUAAUUAUAUAGCAUAUUAGCAGGCGAAAGUGCAAUAGAAAAUGAAGAAAAGCAGGGGAGGAAGACUAGGAGUAUGAUCAUGAGGAAGGGGUUGAAAUUUCGAAGAGGAUGGUGGCAUGGAAAAGAUAACUUGAGCAAAAGAGGUGAUGGAGUUAGACAUGCGGAUAUCCAGGCAGAGGGAGCAGUCAAUUCAAGUGCCUUAUGUUGAGAGUAUGCCUGGCAUGUUUAAGAAAAACGAAGAGGAUGGAGUCCCUGAAUGAAGUGAGAGAAAGGGGAGUAGAAGAUGGUGUCAGAGAGCUUCUGGGAAAAGAGAGAGUGGGUCAUAGAGGAUCUGCACACCAUCUUAAAGAUCUGGCUUGAGACACUGGGCAUGGUGCUAUAAUCCUAGCACUUUGGGAGGCUGAGAUGGGAGGAACCCUUAAGGCCAGGAGUUUGAGACCAG